CUCGGGCAUUAGCCCCACGGCCUUCAUGGGGCAUUCUAGAUCUGUAACCAUGUGGACUUCAUGCCCUUGAAAGAAUGCUCCAAGUGGAUCCAUCAAACUGGAUUAGCCUCUUACAGCCCAUUUUGUUAGUGACUCUAUUUUGGAGCUCAGGAAUCUGCCAGUUUUACCAUUCCACAUGCUAAGACCAAAUGGGGCUUCUGCAUUCCGCCUCACCAGACUGAAAGCAUGGAGCAAAUGAUUCAUCCACCAACUCAAAAAAAAUGAAUAGGUUUGAUGGCUUGCAUGGCCUGUUCACCAGCACUUGCUAGCAGAUCCCAAUAAUAUGAUCAGUGGCCAACCCCCAGAGAUGUAGUCAUGGUCUUUCUGUGCUUCUCCUCACCCUCCCUCAAAACAAACUAGUGGAUAGGCGCAUUUUUAAAUGUUCCUUCUUAUUCAAAUUGAACUUGGUAAUUUUAUUUUUAACAUUUUUUUUUUACAUACUGCAUGAUUCCACUUUCAUAAAGUUGAAAAACAGGCAAAAGAAUCUGUGAUCUUAGAAGCGAGGAGAAAAUUUACCUCUGCUGAGGAGGGAGGGUCGGGGUUGGGAGGAGCCAUAGGGGAAUUUCGGGGAUGCUGAUGAUGUUGUCUCUCUUGAGCUGGGUGCUGGUCUCAUAGGUGUGUGCAUUUUAUAGCACUUGUGAUUUGUGCACUCUUCUGAAUCUAAGUUGCAUGUCAAUGAUUUUUUUUUUUAAAGAUCAUAUUUUGGCUCCCACGACUUCUCAUGGCUUUUCUGCCAUAGUAUUGUUCCCACUCAAGUUCAUCCUAAAACAGCACAUCUCAGAAGGCUGACUUGGCAGAGGAUCCCAGAUGGAGCAGUAUCAGGUGGUAACCUAGGCCUCAUCACCAGUUCCUGAUCAGGGCUGCCUCUCCCACGAAGCCACUCCUUUCCAGGAAGCUGCAUCUACCCCAAAUGGACCUUGUGAACCUGAUCCUUCCCAGCUUCUUGCUGCCCUGGAAAGAUAACUGGAAGAGGACAGUGAAGGCCUUUCUUGUCAAGCAGAUCAGCAGUGCAAGCCUGAUGUUCCAGCCAUUUCCCUCCCAGGGAGAGGAAGGGGAACCAUGGUUUGUAACAUGUGCAUGGCAAGAAUGCUCCCACUACGGCCAAUUUCAGGCACCCGACGUGAUGUCACCAAACUGGGGAGAGACUGGCUCCAGAAAGGGCAGUAGCACAUGGCAGUUUGCCGCGCAAAGGGGGAUGGAAGAUGAGGCUACCCAGGAGAGUGAGUAAGCGCUCAGGCUUUGAGACAGACCUGACUUCAAAUCCAGAUCUGCCUCUUAUGAUGAUGACUGUAGCCUUGAUCCAAUUGCUUAAAUUGCUUAACCUCUUUAAGCAUUUUAUUUCAUAUAAGUAAAU
rnacentral:lncRNA from 1 species